GGGAUUGCCUCAGUAACGGCGAGUGAAGCGGCAACAGCUCAAAUUUGAAAUCUGGCCCCUUUGGGGUCCGAGUUGUAAUUUGUAGAGAGUGUUUCGGGUGAGACCACGGUCUAAGUCCAUUGGAACAUGGCGUCAUAGAGGGUGAGAAUCCCGUAUGUGACUGUGGCUCGAACCCAUGUGAAGCCUCUUCGACGAGUCGAGUUGUUUGGGAAUGCAGCUCAAAAUGGGUGGUAAAUUUCAUCUAAAGCUAAAUACUGGCUGGAGACCGAUAGCGCACAAGUAGAGUGAUCGAAAGAUGAAAAGCACUUUGGAAAGAGAGUCAAACAGUACGUGAAAUUGUUGAAAGGGAAGCGCUUGCAACCAGACCUGUCCGUAGGUGAUCAGCCGCUGUUCUCAGUGGUGCACUCGCUCUGCGAUCAGGCCAGCAUCGGUUUCGGCGGCCGGAUAAAGGCCUUGGGAAUGUAGCUUCCUUUUGGGGGAGUCUUAUAGCCCUCGGUGCAAUGCGGCCAGCCGGGACCGAGGACCGCGCUUCGGCUAGGAUGCUGGCGUAAUGGUUGUAA
rnacentral:rRNA from 1 species